rnacentral:tRNA from 1 species
GGGGGUGUAGCUCAGUUGGGAGAGCGUCGGCCUUGCACGCCGAAGGUCAGCGGUUCGAUCCCGCUCACCUCCACCA